rnacentral:tRNA from 1 species
GGCAAGAUGGCCGAGUGGUCUAAGGCGCCAGACUCAAGUUAAGUCUUCUCCCAGCUCAACUGGGAGCGCAUUCUGGUCAGGAAACUGGCGGGGGUUCGAAUCCCCCUCUUGUCA